GCUGCCAUGUUGAAAUGUGAUGGUCCAGACAGAGCUGUCUUAUAAUCAGUCACCCAAACUUCUGCCCCGGGGCUAAAAGUCAAAGGCUCGCCGAGACCUGAUGUAACACUUGUGUGAUUCUCCCCUUUGAAACUUCAAACUCCAGUUUGUGAACAAAGUCCUGUCUAUCUUCUGAAUAGGAAUCUCCGACCACUGACCAAACUCCAUUUGCAACCACUGCCUAUUUGUACCUUCUCCUCAUGACUACAAUUCAUUACCACAAGUCCGAUCUGUAAGGCAGGCGGCAGGGAAGCAACACAGUAAAAUCAAAAUGCAGAAACUGACAGCAUGGAGGAAAGAAAGACGACUAUGGAGGCCUGGAGGAGUUAAUAAUAUCACUGGAAUAUAAACUGUCUGUGGACUUAUUUUGUUCCUUUCUGGGUGAGCUGAACCACAGGAGAGUGUGUUAAAAGCUCGUCCAGGAGUGUGUUUGUGUUCGAUAUGAGUAAAACAGAAGGAGACAAUGUGCUGGCUGCAGCAGAAAAAAGGCUGCUGCUCCACUUUCCUGCAGGAAAUGGAGGAGAUAGGAGGAGCUGUAUAUGUGAACGCAACAGCCACAUUUUUCGCUCGGAAUUCACCCGGAGAACGCUGCAGGAUAUUCUCCGGAGAAUUCCCCUCGAGCCAAUGGAAGGGGGAGUGAUGUAUACUGUAACUGCUGCACGGUGCAAAUGCAGAGUCCCAUCCUGGCCAUACAUCCCUCUGAAGGCCGAGCCCUGACAGUGAGCCGGCCAGCUGAGUGACGGCCCAUGAGCCGCGGCGGCUCUCUCAGGCCCGGCCAGGCUGAGGCAGGCUGGGAGGAGAAGCAGGGCCACUGUCACUGCACUGAAGCUGUUUGCCGGGGGCCGCCGGGGCCGGCUGUUAGGACCCACAACACCCAGGGAUUAUCCCCUAAUGCCUGUCACAAUGAGAUUUGAUUGGAGACCUGAACCAGCGGAUUAAUGUUGUCAAGUGAGCAGAGUGUGAAACCUACCCCAGAAACAAGCUAAUUGGGCUUCCUGCUCCACUUAAACAGCACAUAUUUAAUUAGAGUACAAAUUAUAAAUCACUUCAUUAGCUGAGGAAUUUGUUUAGCAGAACAAUGUGCUGUCCGUUUUCUAUAGCACAAGUUUCAUAGUCUCUAUAUGGCUGCAGUUAUUAAAACUCUUAUCCAGAUUAAAUCAUUACACCAUCAUAAUCCCUGUAACCAUGAUCCAGAUUUUUAUUAUUAAUCAUUUCAGAUAUAAAGUUCAUGUACUAUAGUGACUCUUUAACGACCAACUGAGCAGUAUCAGAGACUGGAUGAAGUUAAAGUAGCUUAACAUCAACACUGGUGGACACUUUUUUCUCUUUUACGUUUCAUGUUGGAGCGUAUGAAGCUGCAUCCUCUGAGUUUACACUCAAAGGUCAGUUCAUCCAGAUGACAAAAUGUAAGAAAACUACAUCUGCAAAUGAACAAAAUAAGGUUGGAGAUGGAUUAAUAUAUCAAUAUAACCUCGAUUGAAUCCACAUAUGGCUCCUAAAAGUCGAGCAAGGGGUUGCUAGGUAACCACAGCUAGAAACCUGUAUGCAUGGCUUCUACUUUUUUUUUACAUAUGAAGCCAUGUUCAUCACAUGUUAAAUAAAUGAAUAAAAUAAAAUGAUGGUGUGAUGAUUUCAUGCAUCGAAAUGUAGAGCUUCCUCUCCAGCAUUGUAAGGAGAGGAUAAAUAGCCAAUAAGCCUUUUUGUUGGUGCUCAAUUGGUGGAGCGGGCGCCCAAUGUACAGAGUCUACAGUCCUUUGUAGUGCUGGUCGCAGGUUUGACUCCCAAUCCUGACACUAUCUGGUGCAUUGCUCUCUCUCUCUCUCUCUCUCUCUCUCUCUCUCUCUCUCUCUCUGUCUCUCUCUCUCUCUCUCUCUCUCUCUCUCUCUCUAAGAGCUGCAGUCAGUCAUGAGUUUCUCUGAAGCUCCUCUGCAGAAACAGCUUUAUAUUAAACAGCAAAAUCCCAUUCAACCAAUGAAAUGAUAGAAGAAGAAAUCAAGCAAAUCAAGAAACCAUGACACAAACAGCAGCUACCAGGUGACACUCAGGAUAAAAACACAAAACAGAAAAACUGAGCAGUGUUGUGGCCGUUUCUUUCCCGUGCGAGUAGUUGAGUAAAGUUGAGCAGUUAACGCUGUCACUCAGACGGUGCAUUUUAAGGAACGAGGCCUCUCAGUGACCCACAGUCUCGUCAUUGAGCUCUGUAGGCAAACAGAGAUCUGCUGAGGAGCCGCUGAAGGGCUGUUGUCAUGUUUACAUUCAACAUGUGAUUCCGCCAACAGCAGAGUUUGUCCAGGUUGUGACCGUUGAGCAAUUAAUCCCAAGUGUCUCACACUCAGUUACCUGCUAACAACACAGUUUGUAAGCCUCAGUCAAGAAGAGUGAAUGUGAUUUUUUGGAGAAUUGUACCAGCUCAGAUUUUAACCUGAAUCUCUAAAAAAUGUUUCCCUAUACUCAUCAUGUACAAACUGGAAUAAAUGGUUACAUUGGUAAUGCCUGCUGGAGACAUCACGUCAGCAGUUUGUUUUGGACAAAGAAGCAUAGUAUAACCCAAUCUAGGCCAAAAAGGAGCUUAGUGCAGGCGGCUGCCAAAGAAUGUAUUUGUAACAUAAAUGUCCUGGUUAUGGAAGAUUGGUUAAGCGUAUGCUACAGUUGGUAAACAAAUCCUUUCAGAAAAUGUUUCAAUUGUGUUCAAAAACAAUCGACUCAGAGCUGGGGCUCGAGGUGACACACUUUUCAGGUCAUUGAUAAAAUUAGCAGUUCAGGUUAACAAGUUAGUUUAACUCAACUAUUUUGAUUUUCAAUGCACUGGAUCCACUCUUAAAAUUCAAGACAUUAGGGGUGGGGAAUCCAGGGUAACUCUCGAUACGAUACAAUAAGAUUCCCCAUACAGCAUGUGGCCCACAGUAACGAUAGUAUCACCAUACAGAGAUUCUGGAAUAAUUCAUAUACAGUAUACUACAUGACAAUCAUAUCAUAUACUUCACGAUAUCUGAUGACCUGAAGAAUGUAAAAUGUCCCUCAAAAUGUAAAGUGCAUGACGACUGUGUUUGUUCACUGUAAAUUUGGGAGUUUCAACUCUUAUUCAAUUUCAUCUCUUAGCUUCUUUUCACAGCUGUUUGACGUGAUCUUCGUCUUCUAUUAUCCUGCUCUCAACUUCGUCUUUGGCUUCUAACUUUUGUUCAUGUCAUCUCAUUUAUUUCAGAAGGGCAAUCACCAGGAGUCAUGAUGUAGAGACGGGGUGAGUCAAAGCAGGAGGGAAAUCGGUUUAGGGCUUCACAUUUUAAAAGAAUAAAAAUACGGAUAUUUGUCACAAGGGAUACGGUUGUAUUUUGAGUUGGCGCGACGAUAUAUUGCCAUAUUGAUAUUUUUGUCUUACCCCCAAACUUAUCCUCUAGUCUGGACUUGUUAUUUGUAGCAUGUAGGUCUGAAGAUAAAGUUAAAGUUAAGAAAGAUAAACAGUUUGUGUGUUCAUUGUGAUAAAAAAAAACUCUAAAGCCGUUUUCACAUUUGCACUCUUGAAAAUUUCAAGAGAAUUUUAGGAGGACUGCAGGUGAAAUUCUGAUUGGUUUGUUCACAGAUGCACCUCAUAGCGAGAAUCUAUCCCCGUCCAACGGGAGGGGGGGCAAGACAUGAAGUAUUAAGAAAGACGGUGAAAGUGGCAGACGAGGCAACAGAGUCCCCUAUAUACAAUCUAUAAUGAAAUAUGUAUUAUGAAAUAUAUUAGGGAUCUGGCAGGAGAAACCCUGGAUGAAGUUUGACUUGUGCUUUAAAACAUGCAGCUGCAAAUAUCAGGAGCUUUGUGCAAGUGUGAAUGCACUAUAAAGUGUUUUUUUAAAGACUAUAGUCAAAGCACUUAGAAUUUACAAAUAUGCAAUAAAUAUUCAGUAUCUGUCAUAUCUGAUGUCUGUGUACUGAAGCCAAAACCAUCAGAUCUUUAUAAGGCUGCUCAGGUCUUAAUAAAGAUGUUGUCGUGUCAGAGGACACUGAUUAAGGCUUUUAUUAUGUUGAUGCAUGCAUAUCAUAGUGGUGGUUUGUUAUGAUUAUACAAAGACAUCAGUGUGUUCAUGUACAAAAUGUUAUCAAUGAACUUGUAACAGGACGAUGCAUUGAAUGGGAUUAAUAAAGAUGUUGAUGACUAUUCAACCGGCAAAUUCAACUGAUCAUUAUGAUUGCAUUUAUCUUCCAAGGACCAACCAAGGAGCAGUCACACUGGCACUUUAAAGGUGGAAAUGUUAUGUUAUGUGUUCAGCCAUGCAGCUUAAUUAAACACACUCUGCUAGAGAAUUAACUGCUGCAACAAAAAUGAGAAACGGUUUGCAGGAAUCAAUGGUACAAAUACCUCAUUUCAACAACAGUUUGUUUACUGUCCUGCAAUUUUUUAGCAUGCUCAUUCGUCUGCAGAGAUGUUAUCCCCAUAUCAGUAAGGAAAUGCACUAAGAUCUUUAUUUGAGAAGGGAGGGGGUGCUAGCAGGUUAGCAUCAAGCUGGUCAGCGAAGAAGAUCCCUAAGAUUACUAAAAUGUCACUGUGCCAACAAACUUGUGCAACAAAACAUAAAAAGCUACAGUUAUUUAAAAUCCUAAAAGGUAUCUUAUAUCCUGUUUCAGGAUUCAAGAUCAAGUCAGUGAGAGUGUGAUCAGGUAUCAUGGGGACAUCUGCACGAAGAAGACACAAAGCUGCUAAAGUGGAAACAAAAGCACCUGGUGAAGAGAUGAGCAGAGUAAAAUACUCGUACUAUGACGUUAGCAACAAAUUGGUAGAAAAAAAGCUGCAGUAGAGUGAUGGGGAGGGAAGCUAAGCAGUCAAAUUUAAAGCAGCCACUGAACUAUUCAAUAAUAGGGUUUUGCUGUUUAGCCUUACUGGUCGCUUUUUUUUUGUCAUUUCAGCCAGUGGAAAUGAAUUUGCAUCUCCACAUCCCACUGUGACAUGCAAACCAUCCAAUGAAUGACCACAGGAGUAAAAACAACCCCCCCCCCCCCCCCCCCCACCUCCCCUCCCAACAUCAACUGCUGUAGGUGAAAACUGAGAGAGUUCAAAACAUCACAGGAACAGAUGGAGCAUGUAGUAGCAGCUUCUGUGACGGAUGGGGAUUUCUGUGAUCUUACACAGUUUACUGUUUGUGCAGAAACAGAUCCUGCAGCCAUGACAACAAGUAAGCUUCAUCAGAGCCUCAUCUUUGCUUUUUAUAGUGCUGUUUUCUUCACACUGAACACGGACAAUGUUUCAAAGCAUUGAAAAUCCCCCUUUAAAACACAAAUGUUGUUCUUAAGUACAAAUUUGAUAUUCAAAAUCUACUCCAUUACAUUUCAAAUAUUGCACUUUUUACACAUCAAUAUUUACUUUGCACAGCUCCAAGUUACUUUUACUUUAUAAACACUUACAUUUAAAAAAGCCUUUCUGUAUGUCUGUAAGUCUAAUGUCUGAUUGAAGUCUUUUUAAAUCAUUAAAUCCAAACCCAGGACAUGGGUCGCAAAUUAGCCAUGGCUACAAACCUGUAUACAUGGCAUCUAUUUUUUUAUUUUACAUAUGAAGCCAUACUCACUGCAUGUGUCAGUGUGUUACAUAAAUGAUAAAAAAAAUACAAUAAAAUUAUGAAAAGAAUAUGAUGCAGUGGAUUGAAUGUUGCAGGGUAAUAAUUAUUAGUUACUAGUUUUUUGUUCGUUACAAAUUACUUUUCAAAAUACCAGAAAAACACAAUUUGCUUCACUAUAUGAUGCAGUUUGUAUGAUGCUAUUAUUUAACAGUUUCUUGUUAUUUUAUACACUAAUACAGAAUAUUAAAGUACUGCUUGAUGCAUUUUAGUAAGACUUUAAGUUUCUAGUUACUUUUUUGCAUUAAAAAAAAACAUCUUUGGUUCUUGAUGAUGAUUCUUAUAAAGUUUUCUUACAGCUUGUAAUAUAUUCCCGUAUGAUAUGAUGCACCCGCAGUAUUACUUAUGCACCAAAUAAUACACAAAGCAUCCACAACCGGCUCCACAUCGGCAAAGUACAACUUUAAAAUGCUCUUACAUCUAAUCUAACAAAAUGAUUAAAUACAUUCUGGAUCUUCUUUUGUAUUUAAGUACAUUUAGUUGAUGAUACAAACAAUAUCAUUUAUGACUCAAUUAAUUUUAAAACUUGUGAUUACUUUGGACUUUGCUAUUACUACUUUAACUUCAGAAGGAUAUGACUUCUUCUUUGAAAUACUGAGAAUAAAAAAGUGUCUGACUUUAACCUGCACAACAACAUCUCCAAACAUUGACUUUAUGCAUCAGCUGUAACACCACCAUCAGGUUCAGAUCGACUCUCCGGCUGCUCUAACAUCUCUAAAAACUCUGAACCAUCUUCACCAUCAGGCCCGACUCCCAAGGCCUUUUUUUAACAGCCUCCAUAUCUGAGACACACCUCCUGGAUUGCAGCCGUGUGAAACAGGCAGACACAAAUGGCGAUGACAUGAUCCAGGCUAAGCUCUAGGGAGCAACAGCUUCUCCACUGAACACCGACCACAAAGAAGAAAGAAAAGCAGCUCAAGCUGUUUUUUCUGUCUCAAGAUGCUAAAAACAAAAACUCACCUAAUGGAGGUUCCAUGCUUGAGCUGACUUGUGUGUUUACAUUGACCAUGUCGUCCUCUGUUUCCUCUCAAACAUGCGAUUUAAAAUCCACUUUUUUCCCUCCUCAACAUAAGGUGUAAAAUGUGGAAGUUUGGCAGCAGGGUGCUGCAGUGUGAGAAGGCUGUUGUUGGUGCAAGGUAAGGCCGCUGUUGCCGCUGUUAUCUUAUUGAUUUUCCUAAUCUGGGCAAAUGUGGGUGGGGAGGUUAAACAGUAACCAGGCUCGUAUGGACACCAAUCUAUAUAGCAGCUGUAACUACGGCAACGUGAUGAUAGAAACUCAAAUAGACAUUAAGUUAUCAUGCGCUUUUCCCCUCUUUCUCAUCACCAAAUGUCAGAUUCUCCACAUGCAGAUUGAAAAAGUUUUAUUAUAAUUUUAAAAAAGUGAGUUGAUAGAGAAAGAAAAGAGUGAAAGGCAAAGGGUGGGGGGGCAUAAAAGACAGAGAGGAGUGGAGAAUGUACUGAGGGAGGCAGCCCGGCAGACUGAGUGUGAUGAGUGACGUCAGAGGUUUUGUUUUGACUGAUGGGAAAAGUCUGUCAGCUCUCAGGUGUAGAGUUAGGUCUGAGCAGGCUGUGGGGCAGCAAGGCAACAGCCGGAAGCUCAUUUUAAAAUAAUAUUUCCAUUUUCUCCUAACAGAAAUGGAAAUCUUUGGUCCUCUGCACCUCAUAAAAGGAAAUUCGUCAUCAUUUGAGAGAUACCGGCAGACAGAACUUUUACAUUUCACAGUCAGGUCGUUCUCAGAAUUUAUAAUGCUGUUCUGGGUUUACUUUUCAGGGACCAAAACUUCUUGGAUGGGUUUAGUAAAAAACUCAUAAGUCGGGGUUACAAUAAGUAUGGAAGUGAUGUGAGUAAAGUAACCUAUGUAAGUUAAAAUAUGUGUGUGAUGCAACAGGAAUAAAACUACAGAAAGCAUACAUACUCUUAAGUUAAAUCAUCACCAACUAUGGGGAAAGACUUGGUUUUUUUAACCCAUCUAUCCAAUCCCAUCUCCUCCCCAAGGCUGCUUACACACUAGAUGAUCUAUUUGGAUGAACACAAGAUAAAGCGUGCUCAUCAGUGAGCUUUAGGCACAUUUAUUUUAGUCUUUGUACAGAGCCAUGUUAGCCAUUUCCCUUUAUAUUCAGUCUUCAUGCUACGCUAAGCUAAGGGUUUGUGGCUUUAGCUUCAAAUUUGAUGAACUGACAUGAUCAUGGUAAACUAUAAUUAUCUAACUCUCAGUGGAAAAGACAGCUCCUGAGUUUAUUUGUCUGCUGAUGAUAACCUGAAUGAUGCAAUUAGUUCAUGCUUUAAAACAACAAAUAUGCACUUUUUUUAUAAGUAACAAGAGCUGAACAAAAGCAGCGUAUGAUAAACUUAACCUCUUAUAGAAAAUCAUUUUCAUCCUCUGACGGUUUUUUAAUUUAAGGUUGUGAAAAUGAACUUUUGUUUCAGUCAGUGAAGUGCUGAGCUCGUUGCUUCUUAGUGCUUGUUUGAGAGGAACUUUCUUUGUUUGCUUGGCAGAAAUGUUUUCCAUAUCAAAAUAUGUUGCUGUGUGUGUGUGUGUGUGUGUGUGUGUGUGUGUGUGUGUGUGUGUGUGUGUGUUCAUGCAUUUGCUGGGAGGCACAGCUGAUUCCUCGUAUUUUACACCAUAAAAGCAGCAUUAGCCUCCAGUUUUAUGGCACAGAGAGCCUCUGAAGGGAAAGCUGGGAGACGUAAUGAGGUGAAAUGCGGGACAGAAAAUUUCCUGCAGCAGCAGUGAGUAAACACAAAAUAACAGACAGCUGAAUAUUUAUAGGGACAUCGAGCGUCAUUGGUUAUUUAUAACUGCAUUAAUGUUCAAUCAGGCAGCUGAAGAAUACACUCAUUCAGGUUUACUACAGUAAUAAGCAGACAGUUUGCUCACAAUGACAGAGACAAAAAAGUUAAGUCAGAUUAGAAAGAGAAUCAAGAAGUCGUCUACAGUCACAGUAAGUUUAAUCUGUACAAGAACAGUGCUUCAGUUUGAGCAUAAAAUAACAAUAACAGUGCAUACACUCUUAAGAAGUUUAAAACAAGUAUUACUUAGAAAUGGACAGGUUGAUGACCAACAGAGGUAAAAAAAAAAACAUAAACAUUUGUACACAUUACUAAAGGUUUCUGUUGUCAUAGUGGCAACUGGACUGCUGUUUCAUUCUGUUGCACAGCCCAGUGUUUGUUAAAACUGAAAGUCCUUAUGUUAAAGUGUUUCUUCUGUCUUCCAUUGAAGCACAUUUGAAUCUCU